CCUUCUUGAAGGGGGUCAGGCAUGCAGCGCAGUCCCCAUGAUAUACAGAGGCAGAGGGCUCCUGCCCCUCAGUGUCCUGUCUUUGGUGUUGAUGGUUUCCAGUCCACCGGUUCUUCCUCAAACGCUGGGACAUUG